rnacentral:rRNA from 1 species
UUCGUGUGAACAGUGGUUGAUCACGAGUUAGUCGGUCCUAAGUUCAAGGCGAAAGCUGAAAAUUUUCAAGUAAAAAUGAUGAUAAAUAAAUUAUAAUAAAUAUAUAAAACACUUGAAUAAUUUUGAACGAAAGGGAAUACGGUUCCAAUUCCGUAACCUGUUGAGUAUCCGUUUGUUAUUAAAUAUGGGCCUUGUGCUCAUCCUGGCAACAGGAACGACCAUAAAGAAGCCGUCGAGAGAUAUUGGAAGAGUUUUCUUUUCUGUUUUAUAGCCGUACUACCAUGGAAGUCUUUCGCAGAGAGAUAUGGUAGAUGGGCUAGAAGAGCAUGACAUAUACUGUUGUGUCAAUAUUUUCUCCUCGGACCUUGAAAAUUUAUGGUGGGGAUACGCAAACUUCUCAACAGGCCGUACCAAUAUCCGCAGCUGGUCUCCAAGGUGAAGAGUCUCUAGUCGAUAGAAUA